GAUGAACGCUGGCGGCGUGCCUAAUACAUGCAAGUCGAGCGAACAGAUGAGGAGCUUGCUCCUCUGACGUUAGCGGCGGACGGGUGAGUAACACGUGGAUAACCUACCUAUAAGACUGGGAUAACUUCGGGAAACCGGCGCUAAUACCGGAUAAUAUAUUGAACCGCAUGGUUCAAUAGUGAAAGACGGUUUUGCUGUCACUUAUAGAUGGAUACGCGCCGCAUUAGCUAGUUGGUAAGGUAACGGCUUACCAAGGCAACGAUGCGUAGCCGACCUGAGAGGGGGAUCGGCCACACUGGAACUGAGACACGGUCCAGACUCCUACGGGAGGCAGCAGUAGGGAAUCUGCCGCAAUGGGCGAAAGCCUGACGGAGCAACGCCGCGUGAGUGAUGAAGGUCUUCGGAUCGUAAAACUCUGUUAUGAGGGAAGAACAAAUGUGUAAGUAACUAUGCACGUCUUGACGGUACCUAAUCAGAAAGCCACGGCUAACUACGUG
rnacentral:rRNA from 1 species